rnacentral:misc_RNA from 1 species
CUCCAUUGCAAAUUGAUAUGCCCAGUCUUCUUCAUCAGUGCCCUCAGAUUUAUCAUCUAUCGACAAUGAUGGUGGUUGCUUACUGGCUUUGAGACCCUCUUCUCUCCCUCCAGCUGAGGCAGAACAGACAUUGAGUUUGAAAGAACUUUGGCUGAUAGCUUUCGUCGGAGAAAAAGGUGGACGCCGUUUAGUAACGGUUUUUGUUGAUUUCUUGGGAUUGG